CUAGUUGGCAGGGUAACGGCCUACCAAGGCAGAGACGGGUAGGGGGCGUGAGAGCGCGGACCCCCACACUGGCACUGCGACACGGGCCAGACUCCUACGGGAGGCAGCAGUAAGGAAUAUUGCGCAAUGGACGAAAGUCAGACGCAGCGACGCCGCGUGGGCGAUGAAGGCCUUCGGGUUGUAAAGCCCUUUUAUGGGGGAAGAGAAAAAGGACGGUACCCCAUGAAUAAGUCCCGGCUAACUACGUGCCAGCAGCCGCGGUAAAACGUAGGGGACAAGCGUUAUCCGGAUUCACUGGGCGUAAAGAGCGUUGAGGCGGUUCCGUAAGUUGGGCGUGAAAGCUCCGGGCUUAACCCGGAGAUGUCGUUCAAUACUGCGGGGCUUGAGGACAGCAGAGGAAGGUGGAAUUCCCGGUGUAGUGGUGAAAUGCGUAGAUAUCGGGAGGAACACCCGUGGCGAAGGCGGCCUUCUGGGCUGUUCCUGACGCUGAAGGCGAAAGCUAGGGGAGCGAACGGGAUUAGAUACCCCGGUAGUCCUAGCUGUAAACGGUGGAUGCUGGGUGUGGGGGGUGUAAAUUCCCUCUGUGCCGAAGCAAACGCGUUAAGCAUCCCGCCUGGGGACUACGGCCGCAAGGCUAAAACUCAAACGAAUUGACGGGGGCCCGCACAAGCAGCGGAGCGUGUGGUUUAAUUCGAUGCUACACGAAGAACCUUACCUGGGUUUGACAUGCACGUGGUAGGGAACCGAAAGGGGACCGACCUUCGGGAGCGUGCACAGGUGCUGCAUGGCUGUCGUCAGCUCGUGCCGUGAGGUGUCGGGUUAAGUCCCGUAACGAGCGCAACCCUUGCCCUUAGUUACAAGUGUCUAAGGGGACUGCCCGGGACAACUGGGAGGAAGCUGGGGAUGACGUCAAGUCAGCAUGGCCUCUAUAUCCAGGGCUACACACACGCUACAAUGGCCAGUACAAUAGGUAGCCAAGUCGUGAGACGGAGCCAAUCCUUAAAGCUGGUCUCAGUUCGAAUUGCAGUCUGCAACUCGACUGCAUGAAGCUGGAGUUGCUAGUAAUCGCAGGUCAGCCAUACU
rnacentral:rRNA from 1 species